AAAUUAACUAAGCGUAUAAAUAGGGUCACGUAUUAUUCCAAGACCCUUAACACAGUUCUUGAAAAUAUGACAGACUGCGUACAAUGUACAAGAAACAGUAAGAUUUGAUGCAGAACAUAAAAGCUUUAGAGAAAAUAAGGUUUCUUAAUCUGUAACUUUAAUAAUUUAAGAUUAACUUUUAAAAGCAACAUUAACCUCUGAAUAGUUUUUCCUGCCCUCAAAACCACUCGAGGGCACCAAAAAAGCUCACAUUUAAUAGAAGCAACAUAAAAGAAACUUUCUAAUUAUUCCAUCCUUCAGGAACAGGGCCAAGGGAGGCAGUCAGCAGAAAUGAAGCUCCGUCCGGACAGUGUGAAGGUGAUCUAUGUGGUGAUCAGAACAGCAGAGGGCUAUGAACUUUGCCGGGUAAAAAUAAUAUAA
rnacentral:lncRNA from 1 species